UAGCUAGUUGGUGAGGUAACGGCUCACCAAGGCAACGAUGCGUAGCCGACCUGAGAGGGUGAUCGGCCACACUGGGACUGAGACACGGCCCAGACUCCUACGGGAGGCAGCAGUAGGGAAUCUUCCGCAAUGGACGAAAGUCUGACGGAGCAACGCCGCGUGAGUGAUGAAGGUUUUCGGAUCGUAAAGCUCUGUUGUUAGGGAAGAACAAGUGCCGUUCAAAUAGGGCGGCACCUUGACGGUACCUAACCAGAAAGCCACGGCUAACUACGUGCCAGCAGCCGCGGUAAUACGUAGGUGGCAAGCGUUGUCCGGAAUUAUUGGGCGUAAAGGGCUCGCAGGCGGUUUCUUAAGUCUGAUGUGAAAGCCCCCGGCUCAACCGGGGAGGGUCAUUGGAAACUGGGGAACUUGAGUGCAGAAGAGGAGAGUGGAAUUCCACGUGUAGCGGUGAAAUGCGUAGAGAUUGUGGAGGAACACCAGUGGCGAAGGCGACUCUCUGGUCUGUAACUGACGCUGAGGAGCGAAAGCGUGGGGAGCGAACAGGAUUAGAUACCCUGGUAGUCCACGCC
rnacentral:rRNA from 1 species